rnacentral:rRNA from 1 species
CGAGGAACAUGACCUUCGGCGGGGGAUAGCCGGCCCAACGGCCGGGUAAUACCGCGUACGACCACAUGGGGACAUCCCUGAGUGGUGAAAGCAGCAAUGCGCCGAUGGAGUGCCCUCGGCGGCCUAUCAGCUAGUCGGUGAGGUAACGGCUCACCAAGGCGACGACGGGUAGCUGGUCUGAGAGGAUGGCCAGCCACAUUGGGAUUGAGACACCGGCCCAGACCUCGUAACCGGGGAGG